rnacentral:lncRNA from 1 species
AGGCAUGCAAAGCCAACAGCAACCAUAGCAUUUUAUUGCAACUAAAUAUAAAAUAAAUUGCCCCUGAGCUCACAGUUGCAUCGGCAGAAAUUUUUAUGGCACAAGGAAUACAUUAAAAAUCUGAUAAUCACAGGAUCGUCAUUGAUUCAGUUCAGAAUUCCAAGUCAACUCUCAUUUUCCUACAGUUCUAAAUUAUUGCUGGCAUCGUACGGUUUGAGGUCAUAAAUUACAUGAAAUAAAAAUAAUUUGUUUUCUCACACUCCACAAUAGAUCCUUGGUUUUUUUUGAACAAAAAUCACAAAUGACAGCCACUCCUAACUCUACAACCUUUUAGAAUCUCUUUUUCAGUUUCCUUCCACUGAAGACACACCCUAACCUCAGUAUUGUCAGACAAAACACAUAUUCUGCUAAGUUAUCCAAUACCUCUUAGUCUACCGUGUGCUCUCGAAUUUGGUUUCAGUGCAGACUCUUCGGACUCCGCGGGGCGCUAUCCCUACUGCAAUCGUCAUCCAGCCCACCGCCACUGUAAUACGCAACCACGAAUGAUUCCCACUGCCCCAUUGCCCCCUCUGUCCAAUCUUGCUUCUCUUGUUUAGAUCAGUCCCGCACCCCGCUCGUGUACACAUCAAUGUGCGUGUGCGAUGGCCAGUGCAACAUCUCUCUACAUUGGCAUCAUAACAAUGUUAUGCUUUACCCGGUGCUCCAUUGUAUACCACCCAUUAUCUGAUGUCCGUAGCAGCCUUAUCAUCGCAGGACACUCACAGCGGCACAACCUUGUAUUCUCACGCAAAGCCUCCCCCUGCUCCAACAGAUGUUUUAUCAUCAGACCAGACCCUCCAUCCAGCGCAAAUGUGAAGGAGAACUGAAUUUUUAAUUGAUAUACAUACUGAGCAACCACAAACAGUCUCUUGCAUGGUCUUCCGCUUGUCGGGAUUCAAUCGGCUCUUCCCAUGCCUGAUACUAAACCCAUUUUCCCACUAAUACAGGUUGUAAAAGACGUAUGCCUCUGUCAGCGAGGCAAAUGUGGUGCCCAACUCCGGCUUGACGACCUCUUCUACAUGCCUCUGUGAAAGCCCUUAUGGACUUCUCAAGAGUACUCAUACUAACGGGGCAUAGGGUUCGCUCUGUAGGAUUCGCUCCCACAAGAACUCU